rnacentral:rRNA from 1 species
AGAACGAACGCUGGCGGCAGGCUUAACACAUGCAAGUCGAACGAGUGUAGCAAUACACUAGUGGCGCACGGGUGAGUAACGCGUGGAUAUCUACCUUUUGGUUCGGAAUAACCUUGGGAAACCGAGGCUAAUACCGGAUGGUUCCUACGGGAUAAAGAUUUAUCGCCAGAAGAGGAGUCCGCGUCCGAUUAGCUAGUUGGUGAGGUAACGGCUCACCAAGGCGACGAUCGGUAGCUGGUCUGAGAGGACGAUCAGCCACACUGGGACUGAGACACGGCCCAGACUCCUACGGGAGGCAGCAGUGGGGAAUAUUGGACAAUGGGGGCAACCCUGAUCCAGCCAUGCCGCGUGAGUGAUGAAGGCCUUCGGGUUGUAAAGCUCUUUUGGCGGGGACGAUGAUGACGGUACCGCAGAAGAAGCCCCGGCUAACUUCGCGCCAGCAGCCGC